rnacentral:misc_RNA from 1 species
GCCACACCGUAGUCAUAGAGCAAGAGGACUCAGAUACAGUUUGGUUGGUCCUUUACCUUCAAAAGUUCAAGUGCUGGCUGCCGAGACUUCUCCAACUCAGUGAUCAGGGUCCCAAGCUGGACCACCUCCUCAGAACCCUUGAUGACACGGCUGUUCCUCCUUUUGAGACACUUACUGAUGCAAAGGAGACUGAACAGUGAAGGAUCUCACUCAGAAUCCUGUCCACAAUCUGUCCAGUUUACACCUUACCCCAAAGAGAGGUAGCCUGUUAUACAACGUUCUUCACCUCAUUCUCUCACUUCACAAUAUAUCUUGGAGAUCUUACCAAAAGCACACAGAGACCUCCUGCGUUGUGAUUAGAUUUUCAUUGCAUAAUAUUCCAUUGUUCGUGUGUGUGUGAGUGUUUAGUUAGUCUCAAAUUGAUAGGUGCAUGAAUUUUUCCAAUCUUUUGUUAAGGCAAGCAGUAUUGAAUAAACUUGUACAUAAUA